CAAACCGCGAUGUUUUGAAACAGUUCGUCGCUUGGCAACUUUCAAAUUGCUAUAGACUGUGUUCAGCUAAAUCCGCUUUAAAUCCGUUGUAUCGCUCGUCUAACUGCAUAAAACGUACACACCGCGCAUUGCACAAGUCAAGUGCAAUCAAUCAUUUGAAAAGCGACAUUCACUAGCGCGCUAACUAACUAGCCAGUUGUCUAGGAAACGGAAACGCGCAAACUAAAAACGCAGGAUGUGACUCACUAGCCAGCAAUUUCAACUUUAGAAACUUAUCUUGGCGACCAUGCUGCGGUCUGCCAGAGAUAACGACGGCCACCCUUUAGAAGUUUAUUCUGAUGAUGAAGAUAGCGCUGCAUUAGCAGGAGGAAGAAACAUGUCUGAGGAAAUAAACGCAGCUUCGCGUGAGGGCAGCGAGAUCAGCAGCUCGACGCCUGGGCGGCUACCCCUGCGCCAGCGGUACUGGAGAGACACGCACCUGUGGCCCGCUCGAGUAGUAUCUGUUCUAUGCAGCGUGGUCAUUGUCUCAUUUAUCGCUGUGCUGAUCUCCUUCUUGUACAUCGUAUUAAAAGAUCUAAGAGCAGAGAGAAUAACCACUGAAGAUGGAUCAGAAGUGAGACUCCUGGGUUUUUGGAGUAUUUUGGUUCUGUCUUCUGUGGCUGGGGUUCUUUGUUGCAGCUUCUCCUGGACCCUCACAUAUUUCGACUCCUUUGAGCCUGGAAUGUUUCCACCAACUCCUCUUUCUUCAGCCAAAUUCAAUUAACAGGAAGCGUUAACCACCGAAAGAAUGCCGCCGCCAACUCAGUAAUGUGUACAGCGGAGCCUGUGAAACCCUAGAAACUGCUUCGUCUCCAUGAAGAAUGACUGGACACUCUUUCCACAUGGGCUACAGUAUGGCUAUACUCAACGGCAUAGUAGCUGCGCUCACUCUUAUAUGGUAUCUCACCUGACGUGCCUCAUCUGUGGACACCUCGGCCGUCACCAAGAGGCAACUCCAAGUUUAAACUGUUCAAAAUGACAAUUUGCUGAAAAUUGACUCACCCUCAGGUCAUCCAAGAUGUAGAUGAGUUUGGUUCUUCAUCAGAACGGAUUUGAAGAAACUCGCUCACCAAUGGAUCCUCUGCUUCGAAUAAGUGCGUUCAUUUCUGGGUGAAUUAAGGGCAGAUGGAGCCGUCAAAUUAUGUUGCUAAUAUAACUACAGAUAAAACCUUUUUUUUUUUUUUUAAAUAAGCACAAAAACUAACACAGAGAAUGGAAUACUAGUUAAAAAAUAUUUUUAGUCUUUCACACACUGAAGCAAAGCAAUAAAGUACAAUGUUGUUUUUUUUUUAAAGGAUUUCUCAUAUUUUCAUAUAUGCUAAUUUGACAAAUUCAAUACACAACGCACAAUGACUUUUCGUAAUGGACUACAUUUCUGGAAAAAAAAAAAACAUUAGUGAUGUCAGGGUCUCUUUGUUACUCAGUUAUUUUGUCUUAUAAAAGGCUUUUUAUUAGAGAAUCCAGUGCAAGCAGCUUUUUACCAUUACAAUAGCAGUGCAUUAAAUCUGCUUUUUGCCCUUUUGAUGUUAUUCAUCGUCAGUGUGGCAACACAUAGAUGCCGCUUAAAAUCUAUUCAAUAAAUGCAAUUAGCAUUUUAGGAACUCCGCUUAGCAAAGACUACAGUCCCUUUGCAGUCUUGCUUUAUUAAAGCUGGAAGCUGCUGCUCUAUUGAGCGUUUUAAUGGGGGAAAUCAUUAAUACAAUAGCUGUUUUGGGGUUGAUGGAGAGUGACCGUGUUAAAGCUUUGUCGAGAGCCUGGGAGAAGGUCAGAGAGUGUAGAAGUGUGGAUUUAAUUUAUGACUUUAAUUAUUUGAUGCAGACUCCGCCAGGCCAUGAUUACUUUUUUUUUCCCCCUUCUUCAUUAGAUUAGCAGACCCUGUAGCGACUCGUUUCUGCUAGCGCUAAUGCACUGGUCUGUUUAGUGUAUAUAUAGAGUAUUAAUGCACUGCCGCUUCAUGAGUGAGUGUGUUCUUUUUGUUUCUGUGGCAACGGGCUCCUAUAAUUUGUUUUCCUUUUACAGGACAUAUUCCCUCUCUGUUUUUAGUGGAUGUUAAUUCAGGUUUGUCGAGCAUUUCCAGAAAUUUUGCUCGGGUAUUUUAAGGUGAAGGGGAGAUUUUAGUGUGCCUCUUGUUGUCGGUUUUUUUGGUGUGUUCUCGCAUGACUUGGUGACAAAGUGUCUCUCUUAAUGAUGUUUCUGUUGAGGCGAAGGCCUGUCUGAGGUAAACCUCGUCUCUCUCUCGCCUUGAAUCGCGGAGCGCAACUGUCACAAACAAUAUAUCGUCCUGAAAGCGCCUGAUUUGAGUGGUUUGCUUACUUUUUUCCUGCCAUUUAAAUAAUCAGGGGACGAAAGAAACAACACUGGAAUAUUCAUCGCUUACACAGCAGGUGGGAUAUCGUGUCAAAUAAUGCUAUCAGAAAUGAUUUUGUAAGUAUGUAUUUAUGCAAAAAGGAAUAAAUUUGCAAUAUGAAUUAAAAAAUCGUGUUUUAAUAUUUCA